CAAGGACUGGCCAUUCAAGACUGCACGUUGAGCUUGAAAUAUCUUCUUUCCAGAUCUAAGGGCCUGACAAAUAAUGGGACUGGCUGCCAUGCUCGUGGUCUUCACUGCUAUGCUGCUAAUGUUCAGCCCUUCACUACAGACAGGAGUAACGCUACCUACGACUUGGGCUGCUAACCAAAAGACCGGAAAGCCAGGCCAGGGUUGUAGGUCUGGCUCCUGCGCCUACCAAGUCUUGCCUGACAGGCUCAACCGAGAAAACAUUGAUAGACAAAAAGAAAAGGCCCCGCAGCACAAAAUGGGCCCCCUUGGUUACGGCCGGAGGAGGAGAUCGGUUGCUGAGAAGAAGCAUCUUCUAUCGCUCAUAGCAGGCAGGAUCGCUGCAUGACCGGUUUUAUACAAGCUGGAUAACUUACAGCAAGAACGAACUGUUGCACACAUUGCUAAUAAUAAAACAACAACAA